rnacentral:rRNA from 1 species
CCUACGGGUGGCAGCAGUGGGGAAUAUUGCACAAUGGGGGAAACCCUGAUGCAGCGACGCCGCGUGAGUGAAGAAGUAAUUCGGUACGUAAAGCUCUAUCAGCAGGGAAGAAAAUGACGGUACCUGAGUAAGAAGCCCCGGCUAAGUACGUGCCAGCAGCCGCGGUAAUACGUAGGGGGCAAGCGUUAUCCGGAUUUACUGGGUGUAAAGGGAGCGUAGGCGGGGGGCGAAGUCUGGAGGGAAAUGCCGCAGGUUAACUGCGGAACUGCUUUGGAAACUGGCGAACUAGAGUGCGGGAGGGGUGAGGUGAAUUCCAGGUGUAGCGGUGAAAUGCGUAGAUAUUAGGAGGAAAACCGGUGGCGAAGGCGGCUUACUGGACCGUAACUGACGUUGAGGCUCGAAAGCGGGGGGAGCAAACAGGAUUAGAGACCCUUGUAGUC